CCAUCCUGUGACCCUGGCAACCAAAAAAGUAAAGACAACUGGGGAGUCAUGUGCCUGCACUUGGCUGCAGGACAGAGGCAGUCAUGCAGCCGAAGCUGCUUCUGGGCCCCAAUCCCUUUAUGUACUUUCCUGAGAAAACAGAAUAGGCUCCAGUGUUUCCCCAUUACCACUCAGAAUAGGGUACAUGACCCCAGUGCCUGACUUGGGACCAGAUGCCUCUUCCUCAGAUGAUCCCAAGUUCCAGUUGCUGGGAGAGCACCUGCAUGAGACCAUGUAUGGAUAUCUACUCAGCCUAGCAGAGCACAACCCAUCCAAUGUGGACUAUCUUAUGCUGUGACCCCACAGGGCAUGAGGAGCUCGAUGUAUAGAACACUGACUGGAACACUGGACAAUUGCUGAGGAGACAACCUUCCUGUAGGAAAAGUUGCUGACACAAAUGUGCAAAGGUGUAUGUGCAAGAAUGGUCACUGCAGCACUCUUUGUGAUGAUGAAAAACUGGAAACAAUUUAAAUGUCCAUCGGUGGAAAGCUGGCAUAUCAAUACAAUUCAGAAUGAGGUAAAUUUGAAUUUACCCACAUGAAAAGGAUGUUCACAAAGACAGUAAGUUG